CAGGAAUAGCACACACCAGCUUUGCGAAAUACACAUUACAAACAUCUUGUUAUAUGUUUAUAUGCCAAAAUAAAUAAAAAAAAAAAAAAACCACAAUUUUACUCCAAUAUUUAGCAGAGAUUAGCAGUGAAAUUGGUAAAUAGCCCGUGAUGUCUACUUUAUAUAAAAUAUAUACUUUUGUGUGGCAAUUUUGUUUUUUGUGAUGGCUACUAAACCUAAAAGACAAACAUACCAACGUCUAAAAUUGUUUCACAUUGAAAUUUUAUUUUAUUCCUUGUAUUUUGUGACCUGUAAAUUUCAAAAUAAGCUGAAAUCCUACACAUAUUAUGUACUCUAUUAAUCAAGACACAAAUUAAUUUAUUCUGAAUUACUUUUCCUAAGCUGGACAUAUUAUGUACACGUUAUCUCAGAAACUGCGAAAAAAUAGUAAUUUUUUUAAUUUCCCCCCAAUUUUCUGACAUUUUUUUUUAUAAUUAAUGAGAAUUUAUAUAUGUAUAUGUGACAUCGAAUUAAAGCCCUUUUUGUCCCAUUGUUAACAGGAAUAGUCCCAGAAUAUUGGAAGUUAGUGAAUGUUGUGCCCAUUCACAAGAAAGGUAAUAGGGAGGAGUUGGGCAACUAUAGGCCAGUAAGCCUUACUUCAGUAGUGGGGAAAGUGAUGGAAACCAUGUUAAAGGAUAGGAUUGUUGAAAAUCCUAAAACACAUGGAUUUCAAGAUCAGAGACAACAUGGGUUUACUUCAGGGAGAUCAUGCCAAACUAAUCUUAUUGAUUUUUUUGAUUGGGUAACUAUAAUUAUAGAUCAGGGUGGUGCAGCAGACAUUGCUUACCUAGAUUUCAGUAAGGCUUUUGACACUGUUGCACAUAGAAGGCUUAUCAAUAAACUGCAAUCUUAAAGUUUGGAUUCCAAUAUUGUUGAAUGGGUAAGGCAGUGGCUGAGUGAAAGGCAACAGAGGGUUGUAGUCAAUGGAGUGUAUUCAAAGCUUGGGCUUGUCACCAGUGGGGUACCUCAGGGAUCUGCACUUGGACCCAUUCUCUUUAAUAUUUGUAUUAGUGAUAUUUCAGACGGUCUCUAUAGUAAGGUAUGUCUUUUUUGCUGAUGAUACUAAGAUAUGUAACAGGGUUGAUGUUCCAGGAGGGAUAAGCCAAAUGGCAAAUGAUUUAGGUAAACUAGAAAAAUGGUCAGAAUUGUGGCAAUUGACAUUUAAUGUGGACAAGUGCAAGAUAAUGCAUCUUGGACGUAAAAACCCAAGGGCAGAGUACAG